rnacentral:rRNA from 1 species
GGUGAACGCUGGCGGCGUGCUUAAGACAUGCAAGUCGAACGGCAGUCUUCGGACUGUCGUGGCGCACGGGUGAGUAACGCGUAACUGACCUACCCCAAAGUCGCGGAUAACGAUUCGAAACAAUCGCUAAUACGUCAUGUGCUGUCAGAUUGUGUUCUGCCAGUAAAGAGUGAUUGCUUUGGGAUGGGGUUGCGUUCCAGCAGCUAGUUGGUGGGGUAAAGGGCCACCAAGGCGACGACGGAUAGCCGGCCUGAGAGGGUGGCCGGCCACAGGCGCACUGAGACACGGGUCCCACUCCUACGGGAGGCAGCAGUUAGGAAUCUUCCACAAUGGGCGAAAGCCUGAUGGAGCGGCGCCGCGUGAGGGAUGAAGGUCUUCGGAUCGUAAACCUCUGAAUCAGGGACGAAAGACACUUCGGUGGGAUGACGGUACCUGAGUAAUAGCACCGGCUAACUCCGUGCCAGCCGCCGCAGUAACAC